GGGAAAUGGCAAAGAUGAUACCCUUGCGGUUACUUGGAUUUGGAAGCACAUAAUAGUUGUUGUUCAUAUUUUUUUUCUAAGGCUCUAUACAGUCAGAGACUAUGACAGCCUACACCAUUCUGGACCUAGCCCUCAAGGGGGGCCUUGCCCCAGAAUUGCUCAAGCAAACACUACAGCGUACUGCGUACAGAGCCCAGUACCAUCAGACGUACUUAUGUCUGUGAUCCCUUAAAUCUCACACACAGCACCGGGGGCUUGCCAUAUUCCAACUUGAAUAUCUUCAUCCAAAUUGCCUAGAUGCAUAUAUGCUCCAGCUUUGUGAUGUUAAUGAUGAUACCAAUGUUUCAGA
rnacentral:sRNA from 1 species